AUGGAAGACUACUUCGCAGAGGUACCUACAUACCCUCCUCGUCUCUUCCGCAGAAGGUACCGAAUGCGGCGUAGUUUGUUUGUGAAGAUUGUCAACGAUUGUGAGGCUGCCUCCUAUUACUUUAAACGUCGUAGAUCCGCCACCGGUAUCAUGGGGUUUAGUGCAUAUCAAAAGAUAUCGGCGGCAAUGCGGGUACUCGCUUAUGGCAUACCUGCGGAUUAUACCGACGAGUAUCUUCGCAUUGGGCAAGAUAUAACCACGGAGUCAGUCUGUAGGUUUGCCAAGUUGGUCAUUCGGCGGUACGGCGAGCAGUAUCUUCGGGCACCAAACGAGGAAGAUACAAAGAGAUUAAUGGAAAUGAAUGAAAAAAGGGGAUGGCCGGGGAUGCUAGGUAGUCUUGACUGCAUGCAUUGGAGGUGGAAAAAUUGCCCAAAGGCAUGA
rnacentral:rRNA from 1 species